rnacentral:rRNA from 1 species
UACGGAGGAUGCGAGCGUUAUCCGGAUUUAUUGGGUUUAAAGGGAGCGUAGACGGCGGUUUAAGUCAGCUGUGAAAUGGUGCGGCUCAACCGUAGCACUGCAGUUGAAACUGGACGGCUUGAGUGCAGUUGAGGCAGGCGGAAUUCGUGGUGUAGCGGUGAAAUGCUUAGAUAUCACGAAGAACCCCGAUUGCGAAGGCAGCCUGCUAAGCUGCAACUGACGUUGAUGCUCGAAAGUGUGGGUAUCAAACAGG